AAAAUAAAUAAACAUAAAUACUUGCAUUAAUUAAUAAAAAGAUGAUUUUUAACUCCUCAUGGUGUUUUGUUCAAGUUCAUAUAUAAUCAGCGCACCACUGUUAACUGUUAUUUUAUCCCCA